AACGAACGCUGGCGGCAGGCCUAACACAUGCAAGUCGAACGCUGUAGCAAUACAGAGUGGCAGACGGGUGAGUAACACGUGGGAAUCUUCCUAUCGGUACGGAAUAGCUCAGGGAAACUUGGGGUAAUACCGCAUACGCCCUUCGGGGGAAAGAUUUAUCGCCGAUAGAUGAGCCCGCGUCUGAUUAGCUAGUUGGUGAGGUAAUGGCUCACCAAGGCGACGAUCAGUAGCUGGUCUGGGAGGAUGACCAGCAACACUGGGACUGAGACACGGCCCAGACUCCUACGGGAGGCAGCAGUGGGGAAUAUUGGACAAGGGGCGAAAGCCUGAUCCAGCCAUGCCGCGUGGGUGACGAAGGUCUUCGGAUUGUAAAGCUCUUUUGGCGGGGACGAUAAUGACGGUACCCGCAGAAUAAGCCCCGGCUAACUUCGUGCCAGCCGCCGCCGUAA
rnacentral:rRNA from 1 species